rnacentral:sRNA from 1 species
UGCCAUUGGAGCAUGUUUGUAUACGGUAGAGAAUAAGGUUAUGCGAUACAAAC